rnacentral:lncRNA from 1 species
AGAUGGGGGGGGGCACAGAGAAGGUGGGGAGGGAUGGAGGAGGAAGAGGAUAGAGGAAGGAGGAUGGAGGAGGAGGAGGGAGGAGGAAGAAGAGAAGACAAAGACAGAUGGAAGAGGAUGGAGGAGGAGGAUGGAAGAGGAAAGAGGAAGAGGAUGGAGGAGGAAGGAGGAGGAGGAUGGAAGAGGAAAGAGAAGGAGGAUGGAAGAGGAAAGAGGAAGAGGAUGGAGGAGGAAGAGGAUGGAGGAGGAAAGAGAAGGAGGAUGGAGGAGGAAGAGGAUGGAGGAGGAAGAGGAUGGAGGAGGAAGGAAGAGGAAAGAGGAAGAUGGAGGAGGAACAAGAAGGAAGGUGAAGGAGGAGGAAGGAGGAGGGUGCAGGAAGAGAAGACAAAGAUGGAUGGAAGAGGAUGGAGGAGGAGGAUGGAAGAGGAAAGAAGAUGGAGGAGGAAGGAGGAGGAGGAUGGAGGAGGAAAAGGGAGGAGGAGGAUGGAGGAGGAAGGAGGAGGAGGAUGGAGGAGGAAGGAGGAAGAGGAUGGAAGAGGAAAGAGGAGGAUGGAGGAGGAAGGAGGAGGAGGAAGGAGGAGGAGGAUGGAAGAGGAAAGAGGAGGAUGGAGGAGGAACAAGAAGGAAGGUGAAGGAAGAGGAAGGAGGAGGGUGGAGGAAGAGAAGACAAAGAUGGAUGGAAGAGGAUGGAGGAGGAAGGAGAAGGAGGGAGGAGGAGGAAAAAGGAGAAGGAAGAUUGAGGAGGAGGAGGAUGGUGGAGCAGGAAGAAGAAGGAGGAUGGAGGAGCAGGAAGAGGAGGAGGAAGGAGAAAGAGGAUGGAGGAGGACGAAUGAGGAGGACGGAGGAAGAAAGAGGAAGAGGAGGAUGGAGAAGGAGGAAGGAGAAUGGGGAAGGAAGAAGAAGGAGGAGGAUGGAAGAGUAGGAGGAGGAAAGAGGAGGAGGAAGGAAAGGAAGGAGGGAAGGAAGGAAGGGGGAGGAAAGAAGGAAAGGAGGAAGAAGGAAGGAGGAAGAGGAGGAAGGAGAAGGAGGGAGGCAGGAGAGAGGGGGCUCUCAGCCAAAGAUCCCCCCAACGGAAGGGGCAGAGGGAGGGGUUUUUCCAGCUGCCCCAUGGUGCCAGAGCCACCUUUGCCCCCUCCCCAUUUCCCCUUCCUCCCCCCUCUCCAUUUUCUCUUCCUCC